rnacentral:rRNA from 1 species
AUUGAACGCUGGCGGCAUGCCUUACACAUGCAAGUCGAACGGCAGCGCGGGGCAACCUGGCGGCGAGUGGCGAACGGGUGAGUAAUAUAUCGGAACAUACCCUAGAGUGGGGGAUAACGUAGCGAGAGUUACGCUAAUACCGCAUACGCACUAAGGUGGAAAGUGGGGGAUCUUCGGACCUCAUGCUCAUGGGUGGCCGAUAUCUGAUUAGCUAGUUGGUGAGGUAAAGGCUCACCAAGGCGACGAUCAGUAGCUGGUUUGAGAGAACGACCAGCCACACUGGAACUGAGACACGGUCCAGACUCCUACGGGAGGCAGCAGUGGGGAAUUUUGGACAAUGGGGGCAACCCUGAUCCAGCAAUGCCGCGUGAGUGAAGAAGGCCUUCGGGUU